CCUGCUCUCGUUGCUCUCGGUGGCUGGGGGGGGGGGGAGUCACGUGACCCUCGCGCCGGGGCGGGCUGGGAAGCGCCGCAGCAUGGCGGCGGCCAGCGGGGGCCGGUGCUGGCAGCGCUCAGGCCUUCAAGCACAGAACAGCCCAAUUUUGUCUGAUAAUAAAGAGGAGGACCAAGAAAGUACUGGGAGGACAUUUGGAAGCUUUGGGAAAACUGGAAGGGGGACACUGGAGGGAAUUCCUAAGAGAAGAAAAAGAGAACAGUGAAAAUAAAGGAAAGAACUGAGAGGCAGAGAAAGAACUUUUAUCUUGAACUCAUGAAAAAAAGAUCAGAUUUGACUCGGGAGCUGCCGGGGGAGGGCCUUGCCAGAGGCAGAGCCUCCGGAGUAUAGGGAGGCGGUACAACAUCCUUGUCAGUGUUGUGACAGCUCACAAGCAUAAAGACCAAAUGUGCCCCAGAAGAGUUACAAAACUAGUUUGCCUUCCAUGUCCUUGGUUAUUUUUGCGCUGCAUGUUGGGCUACAGGGAUUGCUGCCACCGCUGGGACUACCAUCGCUUGAUGAGCUUCCUCUGAGCAAGAGCUGCUGCCUAGGAGACAUUUGGUAACAGCUCUGUCCUUCCUGACUGUCAGAGCCCAGACACUGGCUCACUGCUGCAGCGAGCAUAUUUUCCCAGUGGAAGUAAAAUCUUCUUUUCAGGCCCUCA